AUUACAUCUUUCACAAAAUGGUUAGCGUAAUUUUGGUUAGUCAUGUGCGCAUGCGUCAAAGCAUUACCUGAGCUAUUAUAAUGUAUUGAACUGUUAGUGUAAUUUAGUGCAGGUGAUAAUCUAAUUCUGUGUGAGUAGCUCAUAGAAGUAAUAAUUUGUAGUUUGUGCUUUUUUGUUUUGCAGAGGGAUUUGACUGAUUCAACUGUCUUAAGGAACAUGGGUGUCAAUUUUGGUUAUUCUCUUCUUGCAUAUAAAAGCACACUUCAAGGAAUUGAGAAGCUUCAGGUCAACGAAGCUCGCUUGAGCGAAGAUUUGAACCAAUGCUGGGAGGUACUUGCUGAACCAAUACAAACGGUUAUGAGAAGAUACAAUGUUCCUGAGCCUUAUGAAAAGUUAAAAGAGCUGACUAGAGGGAAAGCAAUUACCAA